GUACUCACUUCGGCAGCACAUAUACUAAAACUGGAACAAUACAGAGAAGAUUAGCAGGGCCCCUGCACAAGGAUGAAAAGAGUCAUCCUGUAAAACAAGUUGCCUUA
rnacentral:snRNA from 1 species